UACGUAUGGUGCAAGCGUUAUCCGGAUUUACUGGGUGUAAAGGGAGCGUAGGCGGCGCGCCAAGUCUGAUGUGAAACCCCGGGGCUCAACCCCGGGCAUGCAUUGGAAACUGGCGGGCUGGAGUGCCGGAGAGGUAAGCGGAAUUCCUAGUGUAGCGGUGAAAUGCGUAGAUAUUAGGAGGAACACCAGUGGCGAAGGCGGCUUACUGGACGGCAACUGACGCUGAGGCUCGAAAGCGUGGGGAGCAAACAGG
rnacentral:rRNA from 1 species